rnacentral:rRNA from 1 species
GGUGGAUGAGUGGCGAACGGGUGAGUAACACGUGAGUAACCUGCCCCUGAUUUCGGGAUAAGCCUGGGAAACCGGGUCUAAUACCGGAUACGACCAACCCUCGCAUGAGGGUUGGUGGAAAGUUUUUCGAUCAGGGAUGGGCUCGCGGCCUAUCAGCUUGUUGGUGGGGUAAUGGCCCACCAAGGCGACGACGGGUAGCCGGCCUGAGAGGGCGACCGGCCACACUGGGACUGAGACACGGCCCAGACUCCUACGGGAGGCAGCAGUGGGGAAUAUUGCACAAUGGGGGAAACCCUGAUGCAGCGACGCAGCGUGCGGGAUGACGGCCUUCGGGUUGUAAACCGCUUUCAGCAGGGAAGAAGCGAAAGUGACGGUACCUGCAGAAGAAGUACCGGCUAACUACGUGCCAGCAGCCGCGGUAAUACGUAGGGUACGAGCGUUGUCCGGAAUUAUUGGGCGUAAAGAGCUCGUAGGUGGUUGGUCACGUCUGCUGUGGAAACGCAACGCUUAACGUUGCGCGUGCAGUGGGUACGGGCUGACUAGAGUGCAGUAGGGGAGUCUGGAAUUCCUGGUGUAGCGGUGAAAUGCGCAGAUAUCAGGAGGAACACCGGUGGCGAAGGCGGGACUCUGGGCUGUAACUGACACUGAGGAGCGAAAGCAUGGGGAGCGAACAGGAUUAGAUACCCUGGUAGUCCAUGCCGUAAACGUUGGG